GACCUUUUGCCUUUGGCUUUCUAGACUGCUUUAACCAAGACGCCACAGUCAAAUAAGAUCACAAGCAAGACAGAAGUCUUUCAGGUAAGAGGCUGAGUGAUAAUGGAGCAAAGGGGCGUGUGAAGGAUGCUGGAAAGCCUGAUGACACGGGCAGGUAGAGAUGGCUCCAGCACGGGAGCUAAAAGCCAGCCACAGAGAGGAGCAGGCAGGACAGACAGCAGCCGUGGGCCACAGAGGAAAUCAUACCCACACUCCAUCAUCCAUACAGACCCAGGACAAGAAGAGGCAGGAUGCCUAGUGCUCCACCAGGGUGAGUCUCUUUAAUUGCUG
rnacentral:lncRNA from 1 species